AUGCCCAGCCGGGAUGGUGCUCCGGGGCUGUGGUUGGGACGAAGGCCUCCAACCUGGAAUAGAAGCAAUCGUUUGUGUUUGCAAGACUUUUUUCGAAGUGUUUGUUUAUCUGAUGUUGACCCUAAAAUUUACUCCAGCGCUGCCUGCAGCUUUCUGGAGGCUGCUCCUUCAGUAAAUUCCACGCCCCAUCUCCUGCCUCACCCGGUUGCUACUGCUGGUGUAUGGAUCACCAAGAUACAGUUUCUGGUCCUGUCUGUUCCUACUGAUGUCCCUUACAUUUAA
rnacentral:lncRNA from 1 species